UCCCUGGUCGUCCAACCGGCAGGACACGCGGCUCUGGACCGCACGAUCGAGGUUCGAAUCCUUGCCAGGGAG
rnacentral:tRNA from 1 species